rnacentral:rRNA from 1 species
CAAUAGCGUAUAUUAAAGUUGUUGCAGUUAAAAAGCUCGUAGUUGGAUUUCGGGGCAGCCUGGCUGGUCCGCCGCAAGGCGAGUACUGGUCAGCCGCCCUUCCUCUCGAAAGCCCCGACUGCUCUUCGUUGCAGUGGUCGGGUAGUUCGGGACGUUUACUUUGCAAAAAUUAGAGUGUUCAAGGCAGGCCUACGCCUGAAUACAUUAGCAUGGAAUAAUGGAAGAGGACCUCGGUCCUAUUUUGUUGGUUUCCAGGGCCGAAGUAAUGAUUAAGAGGGACAGUUGGGGGCAUUCGUAUUUAAUUGUCAGAGGUGAAAUUCUCGGAUUUAUGAAAGACGAACAACUGCGAAAGCAUUUGCCAAGGAUGUUUUCAUUAA